rnacentral:lncRNA from 1 species
AGUAAAUAUGUGAUAAAACUGUAAUAAUAAUGUAAAAAUUAUUAAAGCUUUGAGAUAUUUAAAACAUUUCUCUUUUAGGAAGAGCAGAUAUUCUGGGGAUGGCAUAAUGAUGUCCACAUAUUUGACACAAAGACACAGACUUGGUUUCAACCAGAAAUUAAAGGUGGAGUUCCACCACAGCCACGAGCCGCGCAUACAUGUGCAGUUCUUGGAAAUAAGGGUUAUAUCUUUGGCGGACGUGUUCUGCAAACUAGGAUGAAUGAUUUGCACUAUCUAAACCUAGACACCUGGACUUGGUCUGGAAGGAUUACUAUUAAUGGAGAAAGCCCAAAACAUCGGUCAUGGCAUACUUUAACACCUAUAGCUGAUGAUAAACUUUUCCUAUGUGGUGGACUAAGUGCAGAUAAUAUCCCAUUAAGUGAUGGUUGGAUUCAUAAUGUCACAACAAAUUGUUGGAAACAACUUACACAUUUACCUAAAACAAGACCUAGGUUAUGGCACACAGCCUGUUUGGGAAAAGAAAAUGAAAUAAUGGUAUUUGGUGGGAGCAAAGAUGACUUACUUGCCUUGGAUACAGGUCACUGUAAUGAUUUAUUGAUCUUUCAAACACAGCCUUAUUCACUACUCAGAAGCAAAGGACAGUUCUGUGAGAAGGGUAUAUGGUUAUUGGGCUGACUGAAAGGAUGACAUAAACAGGAGCUGCCAUAGACUCAUCUGGUUUGAAAU